UACUUGUAACCAGGAUUAAAACAACUUCAAUUCCUUAGUAUAUUUAUGUUCCUGAUGUCACUGAAAAUUUUGUUUACUAGUUGGAUCCUAUAAUAAACUUACAACUUAUUCAUUAUUACAGUUGCUGCACAAGAAUUCCACACCUGUUGUGUAAUAUGAUCUGAAGUUCAAGUAAUGAGUUGCUGCAGAAGAAUUCAACACCUGUUGUGUAUUAUGGUAUUGGUAUUUAGCUGAAGUUAAGGUCAUGAGUAUUACAGUUGCUGCAGAAGAAUUCCACACCUGUUGUGUAUUAUGAUCUGAAGUUCAAGUCAUGAGUUGCUGCAGAAGAAUUCAACGCCUGUUGUGUAUAAUGAUAUUGAUAUUCAACUGAAGUUCAGAUCAUGAG
rnacentral:lncRNA from 1 species